rnacentral:tRNA from 1 species
UAUUGCUCAGUGGUAGAGCACGUGCUUAGCAUGCAUGAGGUCUUGGGUUCUAUCCCCAGUA